UACAUAGGGUGCAAGCGUUGUCCGGAAUUAUUGGGCGUAAAGAGCUCGUAGGUGGUUAGAUACGUCGGAUGUGAAAAUCAGGGGCUCAACCCCUGACCUGCAUUCGAUACGGUCUAGCUAGAGUGUGGUAGGGGAGACUGGAAUUCCUGGUGUAGCGGUGGAAUGCGCAGAUAUCAGGAGGGACACUGAUGGCGGAGGCAGGUCUCUGGGCCAUUACUGACACUGAGGAGCGAAAGCGUGGGGAGCGAACAGG
rnacentral:rRNA from 1 species